AUUGAACGCUGGCGGCAUGCCUUACACAUGCAAGUCGAACGGCAGCACGGGUGCUUGCACCUGGUGGCGAGUGGCGAACGGGUGAGUAAUACAUCGGAACAUGUCCUGUAGUGGGGGAUAGCCCGGCGAAAGCCGGAUUAAUACCGCAUACGAUCUACGGAUGAAAGCGGGGGACCUUCGGGCCUCGCGCUAUAGGGUUGGCCGAUGGCUGAUUAGCUAGUUGGUGGGGUAAAGGCCUACCAAGGCGACGAUCAGUAGCUGGUCUGAGAGGACGACCAGCCACACUGGAACUGAGACACGGCCCAGACUCCUACGGGAGGCAGCAGUGGGGAAUUUUGGACAAUGGGCGAAAGCCUGAUCCAGCAAAGCCGCGUGUGUGAAGAAGGCCUUCGGGUUGUAAAGCACUUUUGUCCGGAAAGAAAUCCUUGGCCCUAAUACGGUCGGGGGAUGACGGUACCGGAAGAAUAAGCACCGGCUAACUACGUG
rnacentral:rRNA from 1 species